rnacentral:lncRNA from 1 species
CUUGCAGUGCACGUUUCAUCUUGCACUGAAGUUCUCAUGGCAGCUUUAUGUCUUCAUGCUCCAGGCUAGAGCUAAUUCAGCACAAAUCUAGAACAGCUGAUGUUGAUGGCUGAUCUUGAAUAAGGUUCUACUGGAAUAGGGACUUGGAAAUGAAAAUUGCUGGUUGGGAGAUCUUAAACCACUUCAGGAGUUUGAAUUGAAAACAUUUCUAAUCAAACACUAAGUGCCCUAGAACUCUGUUGAUUACUGCCUGGAACCACCAGCUGAAGAGUUCAUCACAGCUGCAUCACAUCUUUACUCCCUGCUCUCCUUCCCUUGAAAGUGUAUGUUGUAUGGGAGAAUAGGCAACAAUGUAUCUGUCAGGCUGCUUGAGCUGACUAAUGUAGUAUUCCAGGCGAUAAGGAACACAUGCAGAUAUUUUUUUCCUAUUGAUUAGAGAGCUAUUCAAUGUUUAUGAAGUGGAGGCGUGAAGUAAAGAUACAGAAUUUUCUCAAGUGGAUUUGAUUCCCAUCUUAUCACUGAUGUAAAAUCAGGAGCUUCUCUACUGAAGAUGAAUCACUUAUGCUGUGUAGAGGAAAUGAAGAAAUCUCCACUGCAGUGUCAUCAGUGCUGCAAAGACCAUACAAUGAAGCUGCAAACAAAUAAUUCUCAACUGCAAUUCAGAAAAUCUGCUUAGGAGUCAUAUCUUCACUGGCUUCAUCUUGCUGAUCUUGAUUUUGUCUGGAAUUAGCUACAAUUAAUUUGGGUAAUAUUUUUCACAGUGUUCAUGAUAUAUUGAGAUAAAUGCUAAGCUCUUGCGCAUGUUUAUAAGGUCAAGUUUUAAAAUGUAUUUAUUUAUUUCUGCUAGUGUCACAAGGCCACAAUUUGAAGAGUACUUAGUCUUGAUGAACAAUUCUUGGUAUUGGUGUUUAUAGACUCCAGUCCAUAACAGGAAAGAAUAUAUGCUAUCAGUUACUGCCAACUUACAGCCUGUUGUUGGCCAGACUUACCCCAGUGAGUAC